CCUUAAUGAAUUAUUUAUUGCCAUUAACUCUCAUAUGCAGUCAAUGCUGGCAAGCGUCCAUUCUCAUCCCACACGCGACGUUGUUUACAUUUAGCAACUUAUGCUAGAGUUUCCUUCUGUACAGGAAAGUUCUCAAAAAGAAAGGAUGGAUGUCAUUUUCCCCAUUAUCCUUCUGCUGAAAAAUUUAGUUAUCCUCAUUGUAAUGUCAGGACAAUCACAGGCAGAAAGAUCUUUGAAAAGGCAAAUGAAUUUUCGCAAAAUAAAACAUCAUGGAGG